rnacentral:tRNA from 4 species
GCCGGGAUAGCUCAGUUGGUAGAGCAGGGGACUGAAAA